rnacentral:rRNA from 1 species
GACGAACGCUGGCGGCGUGCCUAAUACAUGCAAGUCGAGCGAAUCUAUUGGGAGCUUGCUCCCUUUAGAUUAGCGGCGGACGGGUGAGCAACACGUGGGUAACCUGCCUGUAAGACUGGGAUAACUCCGGGAAACCGGGGCUAAUAACGGAUAAGUUGUUCCUCCGCAUGGAGGAACAUUGAAAGAUGGCUUCGGCUCUCACUUACAGCUGGACCCGCGGCGCAUUAGCUAGUUGGUGAGGUAACGGCUCACCAAGGCAACGAUGCGUAGCCCACCUGGGAGGGUGAUCGGCCACACUGGGACUGAGACACGGCCCAGACUCCUACGGGAGGCAGCAGUAGGGAAUCUUCCGCAAUGGACGAAAGUCUGACGGAGCAACGCCGCGUGAGUGAUGAAGGUUUUCGGAUCGUAAAACUCUGUUGUUAGGGAAGAACAAGUACCGUUCGAAUAGGGCGGUACCUUGACGGUACCUAACCAGAAAGCCACGGCUAACUACGUGCCAGCCGCCGCCGUAA